UACGGAGGGGGCUAGCGUUGUUCGGAAUUACUGGGCGUAAAGCGCACGUAGGCGGCUUUGUAAGUUAGAGGUGAAAGCCCGGGGCUCAACUCCGGAAUUGCCUUUAAGACUGCAUCGCUAGAAUUGUGGAGAGGUAAGUGGAAUUCCGAGUGUAGCGGUGGAAUGCGUAGAGAUCCGGAAGAACACCGGUGGCGAAGGCGGUCUGCUGGGCAGUAGCUGACACUGAGGCGCGACAGCGUGGGGAGCAAACAGG
rnacentral:rRNA from 1 species